UACACUAGACAUAUAGACUGACAGACAGACAGACUACACUAGACAUAUAGACUGGACAGACAGACAGACAGACUACACUAGACAUAUAGACUGGACAGACAGACAGACUACACUAGACAUAUAGACUGGACAGACAGACAGACUACACUAGACAUAUAGACUGGACAGACAGACAGACUACACUAGACAUAUAGACUGGACAGACAGACAGACUACACUAGACAUAUAGACUGGACAGACAGACAGACUACACUAGACAUAUAGACUGGACAGACAGACAGACAGACUACACUAGACAUGUAGACUGGACAGACAGACAGACUACACUAGACAUACAGAGGGGAGAACAAGUAUUUGAUACACUGCCGUUUUUGCAGGUUUUCCUACUUACAAAGCAUGUAGAGGUCUGUAAUUUUUUUAAUCAUAGGUACACUUCAACUGUGAGAGACGGAAUCUAAAACAAAAAUCCAGAAAAUCACAUUGUAUGAUUUUUAAGUAAUUAAUUUGCAUUUUAUUGCAUGACAUAAGUAUUUGAUCACCUACCAACCAGUAUGAAUUCUGGCUCUCACAGACCUGUUAGUUUUUCUUUAAGAAGUCCUCCUGUUCUCCACUCAUUACCUGUAUUAACUGCACCUGUUUGAACUCGUUACCUGUAUAAAAGACACCUGUCCACACACUAAAUCAAACAGACUCCAACCUCUCCACAAUGGCCAAGACCAGAGAGCUGUGUAAGGACAUCAGGGAUAAAAUUGUAGACAUGCACAAGGCUGGGAUGGGCUACAGGACAAUAGGCAAGCAGCUUGGUGAGAAGGCAACAACUGUUGGCGCAAUUAUUAGAAAAUGGAAGAAGUUCAAGAUGACGGUCAAUCACCCUCGGUCUGGGGCUCCAUGCAAGAUCUCACCUCGUGGGGCAUCAAUGAUAAUCAAUGAUCAUCAUAAUUAAUGCAAAUUAAUUACUUAAAAAUCAUACAAUGUGAUUUUCUGGAUGUUUGUUUUAGAUUCCGUCUCUCACAGUUGAAGUGUACCUUUGAUACAAAUUACAGACCUCUACAUGCUUUGUAAGUAGGAAAACCUGCAAAAUCGGCAGUGUAUCAAAUAAGCCCAUUGUAUAUACUUUGCUGGACAGACAGACAGACAGACUGGGAUGUACAGAGAGACAGACUAUACUGGACAGACAGACACAUUUACUGGGCUGUCAAGCGUAGUCUGUCUGUCUAGUAUGUCUGUCUUUUUCUCUCUCUUUCAAUUGUUCAAUUCAAUUCAGUUUUCUUUAUUGGCAUGAUGUAAAAAUGUACAUAUUGCCAAAGCUUACUUUGGAGAUUUACAAUUAAUUAAUUAAAAUAAUUAAUAAUAAUAAUGAUCAAUAUUGUCAACAGGACAACAGUAACAACAAUAAUCAAUAAUACAAUAACUUUAAACAGGUUGAUUGGUCUGUCAGACACUGUCCCUCAUCUUAUGGCAGGCAGCAAUGCUGUACGCUGCCAACCCACAGCUCUCUGCCAACCCACAGCUCUCUUCGUCCUCCCCCAACAGGACGGGUAGCCUGUCCUCAUCAGAGAGGUCUUUUAAACCUUGUAUCAGGGUUUUAAAUUUGAGGAAAUGACACUCUCUAAUUGUUUUAUAUUUUUGACAUUUUGUCAGGAAAUGCAGCUCUGUCUCGGGUUCUGCUGUGGGGCAGUGGUUACACAGCCUUUCCUCUACAGGGAGCCAGGUUUUCCUGUGUCUACCCUUCUCAACGGCAAGGCUGUUCUCACUGAGCCUGUACAUUGUCAAGGUUUUUCUAAGAUUUUGAUCAGUAACCAUGGUCAAAUAGUUUGCCACGGUGUUCUGUCGAUUUAGGGCCAGGUAGCACUGCAUUUUGCUUUGUGCUUGUUCUUGUGUUUCCCAAAAAGCAAUUUAGUUUUGUUUUUGUAAUUUGUUUUAUUCUGAUUGAUUGGAUGUUCUGGUCCUGAGGCUUCAGUGUGUUAGUAGAACAGGUUAGUGAACUCAACCCCAGGACCAGCUGGAUGAGGGGACUGAGGCUUCAGUGUGUUAGUAGAACAGGUUAGUGAACUCAGGACCAGCUGGAUGAGGGGACUGAGGCUUCAGUGUGUUAGUAGAACAGGUUUGUGAACUCAACCCCAGGACCAGAUGGAUGAGGGGACUGAGGCUUCAGUGUGUUAGUAGAACAGGUUAGUGAACUCAGGACCAGCUGGAUGAGGGGACUGAGGCUUCAGUGUGUUAGUAGAACAGGUUAGUGAACUCAGAACCAGCUGGAUGAGGGGACUGAGGCUUCAGUGUGUUAGUAGAACAGGUUAGUGAACUCAGAACCAGCUGGAUGAGGGGACUGAGGCUUCAGUGUGUUAGUAGAACAGGUUUGUGAACUCAGUCCCAGGACCAGCUGGAUGAGGGGACUGAGGCUUCAGUGUGUUAGUAGAACAGGUUUGUGAACUCAGGACCAGCUGGAUGAGGGGACUGAUGCUUCAGUGUGUUAGUAGAACAGGUUUGUGAACUCAGGACCAGCUGGAUGAGGGGACUGAGGCUUCAGUGUGUUAGUAGAACAGGUUAGUGAACUCAGGACCAGCUGGAUGAGGGGACUGAGGCUUCAGUGUGUUAGUAGAACAGGUUAGUGAACUGAGAACCAGCUGGAUGAGGGGACUGAGACUUCAGUGUGUUAGGAGUACAGGUUAGUGAACUCAGAACCAGCUGGAUGAGGGGACUGAGGCUUCAGUGUGUUAGUAGAACAGGUUUGUGAACUCAGCCCCAGGACCAGCUGGAUGAGGGGACUGAGGCUUCAGUGUGUUAGGAGAACAGGUUAGUGAACUCAGGACCAGCUGGAUGAGGGGACUGAGGCUUCAGUGUGUUAGUAGAACAGGUUAGUGAACUCAGCCCCAGGACCAGCUGGAUGAGGGGACUGAGGCUUCAGUGUGUUAGUAGAACAGGUUUGUGAACUCAGCCCCAGGACCAGCUGGAUGAGGGGACUGAGGCUUCAGUGUGUUAGUAGAACAGGUUUGUGAACUCAGCCCCAGGACCAGCUGGAUGAGGGGACUGAGGCUUCACUGUGUUAGUAGAACAGGUUUGUGAACUCAGGACCAGCUGGAUGAGGGGACUGAGGCUUCAGUGUGUUAGUAGAACAGGUUAGUGAACUCAGGACCAGCUGGAUGAGGGGACUGAGGCUUCAGUGUGUUAGUAGAACAGGUUUGUGAACUCAGGACCAGCUGGAUGAGGGGUCUGAGGCUUCAGUGUGUUAGUAGAACAGGUUUGUGAACUCAGCCCCAGGACCAGCUGGAUGAGGGGACUGAGGCUUCAGUGUGUUAGUAGAACAGGUUUGUGAACUCAGCCCCAGGACCAGCUGGAUGAGGGGACUGAGGCUUCAGUGUGUUAGGAGAACAGGUUAGUGAACUCAGCCCCAGGACCAGCUGGAUGAGGGGACUGAGGCUUCAGUGUGUUAGGAGAACAGGUUAGUGAACUCAGCCCCAGGACCAGCUGGAUGAGGGGACUGAGGCUUCAGUGUGUUAGGAGAACAGGUUUGUGAACUCAGCCCCAGGACCAGCUGGAUGAGGGGACUGAGGCUUCACUGUGUUAGUAGAACAGGUUUGUGAACUCAGGACCAGCUGGAUGAGGGGACUGAGGCUUCAGUGUGUUAGUAGAACAGGUUUGUGAACUCAGCCCCAGGACCAGCUGGAUGAGGGGACUGAGGCUUCAGUGUGUUAGGAGAACAGGUUAGUGAACUCAGGACCAGCUGGAUGAGGGGACUGAGGCUUCAGUGUGUUAGUAGAACAGGUUAGUGAACUCAGCCCCAGGACCAGCUGGAUGAUUGGAC